AUGCCACAUGAUGCGCGCCGUUUGUUACUAGUACUCUUUGUGGUUUCUUUGAAUCAUGUGGUAGCAAAUUCGACAAGGUCACUCGGGCCAUCUCAUGAGCAUCCGAGGAGAUUAGUACAUCACAUACCAGUUCCAUCCGUGAACAGCAGUUCUGAGGUCACUGGUUCAGUUUCGAAGCAAGCAGCGGCUUCGGCCCAAGGAGUGGAUCGAAUUGCACAUGGACUAAAUCUCAAGGUACCUUCUCGUGUGUCGAAGCUUGUCUCCGGGCCCCUGCCAGCAAUCAAAACUGACUCACCUGACCAGUUCCGCAGCAAGCUUCGACUACCACACUUUGCGAAGCCAAGCCACUAUGAGCUACAUUUCCGCCCCAACCUCGUCUCUUACACCUUCUCCGGUGUCGUGGCAGUCAAUGUCACCGUCAUAACACCCACCCGUUUCCUCGUUCUCAAUGUUGUGGAACUCAUGGUUGACCCUGCUUCCAUAAAAUUCAAGUGUUUAGUGCCGACCGAGGUGGUGUUUUUUAAGGAUGAUGAAAUUAUGGUAAUUGGUUUUCAGAAAGAGCUUCCAAUAGGUGAUGGUGUGCUCAGGAUGCACUUCAAUGGCACUCUCAAUGAUGAGACGAGGGGAUUUUUCAAGAGUGUGUGUGUGUGUGUGUGUGUUUGUGUGUUUGUGUGUUUGUGUGUGGGUUGGGCAGUGAUAUUCUACUGUUGUGGGUAG
rnacentral:rRNA from 1 species